GACGAACCGUGCGAACGUUAUUCGGAAUCACUGGGCUUAAAGCGCGUGUAGGCGGAUGGGAACGUCGGUCGCUGAAAUCCCCCGGCUCAACCGGGGAACGGGCGCCGAAACGACCCGUCUGGAGGGACGUAGGGGGACCUGGAACUUCCGGUGGAGCGGUGAAAUGCGUUGAGAUCGGAAGGAACGCCCGUGGCGAAAGCGAGGUCCUAGACGUCUACUGACGCUGAGACGCGAAAGCUAGGGUAGCGAACGGG
rnacentral:rRNA from 1 species